GAUGAAGAACGCAGUGAAAUGCAAUACUUGGUGUGAAUUGCAGAAUCCCGUGAACCAUCGAGUCUUUGAACGCAAGUUGCGCCCGAAGCCAUUAGGCCGAGGGCACGCCUGCCUGGGCGUCACACGUCGUUGCCCCCCAUCUACUCCUUCGGGAUUGCGGGGGGCGGAUGAUGGCCUCCCGUGCGCCUCGUCGCGCGGUUGGCAUAAAUGCCAAGUCCUCGGCGACGCACGCCACGACAAUCGGUGGUUGCGAAACCUCGGUUGCCCGUCGUGUGCGGUCGUCGCGCAUCGAGGGCUCGAAAAAAUUGCCGGGCUCCGGCUCGGCUUUCAACGCGACCCCAGGUCAGGCGGGGUUACCCGCUGAAUUUAAGCAUAUCAAUAAGCGGAGGA
rnacentral:misc_RNA from 1 species